rnacentral:ncRNA from 1 species
CCAAAAUUCAAGCUGCUAUACUUCUGGCUGCAUGACUGUGGUCAGAGUGUAUGGUGAUCAUAGCAAUGCAAAGUAUUGGGCUCGAUAAAUCCUUUGAAGACGACUUAAUUGCAUCCGGGUAUUGUAAGUGUUGAGAGUAGGCUUAGUCUUACGAUCCACUGAGAUUCAUCCCGUGUUGCGCCGAUUUGU